UUCCUGGUGGUCCAGUGGCUAAGACUCUGCACUUCCAAUGCAGGGGGUCUGGGUCUGACCCCUGGUCAGGAAA
rfam:TPA: Bos taurus chromosome 17, whole genome shotgun sequence.